rnacentral:rRNA from 1 species
GACGAACGCUGGCGGCUUGCCUAAUACAUGCAAGUCGAACGCAGUGGGUACGGGUUAGUAACACGUGGGUAACCUCCCAUCAGAGGGGAUAACACUUGGAAACAGGUGCUAAACCGAGACUACUGUAUGGACCGGCGGUGCAUUAGCUAGUUGGUGAGGUAACGGCUCACCAAGGCCACGAUGACUAGCCGGACUGAGAGGGUGAUCGGCCACACUGGGACGGAGACACGGCCCAGACUCCUACGGGAGGCAGCAGUGGGGAAUAUUCGGAAAUGGACGAAAGUCUGACCGAGCAACGCCGCGUGAGUGAAGAAGGUUUUCGGAUUGUAAAACACUGUUAUUAGAGAAGCGGUAUCGAAACAGAAAGCCACGGCUAACUACGUGCCAGCAGCCGCGGUAAUAC